rnacentral:rRNA from 1 species
GAUGAACGCUGGCGGCGUGCCUAAUACAUGCAAGUCGAGCGAACAGACGAGGAGCUUGCUCCUCUGACGUUAGCGGCGGACGGGUGAGUAACACGUGGAUAACCUACCUAUAAGACUGGGAUAACUUCGGGAAACCGGAACUAAUACCGGAUAAUAUAUUGAACCGCAUGGUUCAAUAGUGAAAGACGGUUUUGCUGUCACUUAUAGAUGGAUCCGCGCCGCAUUAGCUAGUUGGUAAGGUAACGGCUUACCAAGGCAACGAUGCGUAGCCGACCUGAGAGGGUGAUCGGCCACACUGGAACUGAGACACGGUCCAGACUCCUACGGGAGGCAGCAGUAGGGAAUCUUCCGCAAUGGGCGAAAGCCUGACGGAGCAACGCCGCGUGAGUGAUGAAGGUCUUCGGAUCGUAAAACUCUGUUAUUAGGGAAGAACAAAUGUGUAAGUAACUAUGCACGUCUUGACGGUACCUAAUCAGAAAGCCACGGCUAACUACGU